GCGCUUUUGAGUAUCUGGCUUCGAACCAGGUGGUCGGGGGUUCGAAUCCCUCCGGGCGCGCCA
rnacentral:tRNA from 1 species